rnacentral:rRNA from 1 species
GAUGAACGCUGGCGGCGUGCCUAAUACAUGCAAGUCGAGCGAACAGACGAGGAGCUUGCUCCUUCGACGUUAGCGGCGGACGGGUGAGUAACACGUAUAUAACCUACCUAUAAGACUGGGAUAACUUCGGAAAACCGGAUCUAAUACCGGAUAAUAUUUCGAACCGCAUGGUUCGAUAGUGAAAGAUGGCUUUUCUAUCACUUAUAGAUGGACCUGCGCCGUAUUAGCUAGUUGUUAAGUUAACGGCUUACCAAGGCAACGAUACGUAGCCGACCUGAGAGGGGGAUAGGCCACACUGGAACUGAGACACGGUCAAGACUCCUAAGGGAGGCAGCAGUAGGGAAUCUUCCGCAAUGGGCGAAAGCCUGACGGAGCAACGCCGAGCGAGUGACGAAGGUCUUCGGAUCGUAAAAAUCUGUUAUUAGGGAAGAACAAACGUGUAAGUAACUGUGCACGUCUUGACGGUAACUAAUCAGAAAGCCACGGCUAACUACGUG